GCACCAGCAAAAUCUGGCGCCGGGCGUGGAAACCCGAACACACUAAGGGCGACACAGACGCCGAAAGCGUCUUUUUU
rnacentral:sRNA from 3 species